UCCCCCUUUUUUGAAAAUUAUUGGUAUGCACCUAUAGUUGAUGGUCCUUGUAAUAGGAUCUUAUGUUUACAUGAUGCUGGCAAGGCUGCCCUUUGGAACCCAUCUACCAGAGUUCAAAAUCCUUCCUCAAUCCACAGUCCAUCACCCUCCUACAGUAGAUUCCACUAAUUUUGGCUGCCUUGGUUUUGGGUAUAAUUCUCAAACUGAUGACUACAAAGUUGUUAGAUUUAUUACUAAUUACUUUGAAGAGAAUCUAGAUGAAGGGUUGAUGGCAGAUUGGAUCCACCAAGUUGAGUUAUAUUCCCUUAAAAGUGAUCCAUAGAAGGAAAUUUCGGUUCCUGGGGUUCAUGUUUAUG